rnacentral:rRNA from 1 species
CCUACGAGGUGCAGCAGUCGAGAAUCAUUCACAAUGGGGGAAACCCUGAUGGUGCGACGCCGCGUGGGGGAAUGAAGGUCUUCGGAUUGUAAACCCCUGUCAUGUGGGAGCAAAUUAAAAAGAGAGUACCACAAGAGGAAGAGACGGCUAACUCAGUGCAAGCCGCCGCGGUAAUACAGAGGUCUCAAGCGUGAUUCGGAAUCACGGGGCGUAAGGCGUGCGUAGGCGGUUUCGUAAGUCGUGUGUGAAAGGCGCGGGCGCAACCCGCGGACGGCACAUGAUACUGCGAGACUAGAGUAAUGGAGGGGGAACCGGAAUUCUCGGUGUAGCAGUGAAAUGCGU